rnacentral:rRNA from 1 species
AGCAGCCGCGGUGAUACAGAGGGUGACGAGCGUUAAUCGGAUUUACUGGGCGUAAAGCGUGCGUAGGCGGCCAUUUAAGUCAAAUGUGAAAUCCCCGAGCUUAACUUGGGAAUUGCAUUCGAUACUGGAUGGCUAGAGUAUGGGAGAGGAUGGUAGAAUUCCAGGUGUAGCGGUGAAAUGCGUAGAGAUCUGGAGGAAUACCGAUGGCGAAGGCAGCCAUCUGGCCUAAUACUGACGCUGAGGUACGAAAGCAUGGGGAGCAAACAGGAUUAGAUACCCUGGUAGUCCAUGCCGUAAACGAUGUCUACUAGCCGUUGGGGCCUUUGAGGCUUUAGUGGCGCAGCUAACGCGAUAAGUAGUCCGCCUGGGGAGUAA